rnacentral:rRNA from 1 species
GACGAACGCUGGCGGCGUGCUUAACACAUGCAAGUCGAACGGAGUGGGGAACGGGUGAGUAACACGCGGGUGAACCGCCCUGCACUUCGGGAUAAGCUAGGGAAACUGGGUCCAAUAACGGCUUGUGCAAGAUAGGCUCGCGGCCUAUCAGCUUGUUGGUGGGGUAAUGGCCUACCAAGGGGUCGACGGGUAGCCGGCCUGAGAGGGUGUACGGCCACAUUGGGCCUUAGGGACGGACCAGACUCGUACGGGAGGCAGCAGUGGCGAAUCUUGCGCAAUGGGCGGAAGCCUGAUGCAGCGGCGCCGGGUGGGUGAUGAAGGCCUUCGGGUUGUAAACUCCUUUAGACAGGGACGCGGUACCUGUAUAAGAAGCACCGGCUAACUACGUGCCAGCAGCCGCGGUAAUAC